UACAGAGGGGGCAAGCGUUAUUCGGAAUUAUUGGGCGUAAAGGGCGCGUAGGCGGCUUUGCAAGUGACGGGUGAAAGCCCUCGGCUUAACCGAGGAACUGCCUGUCAGACUGUAAGGCUUGAGACCGGGAGAGGUGAGUGGAAUUCCCAGUGUAGCGGUGAAAUGCGUAGAUAUUGGGAGGAACACCAGUGGCGAAGGCGGCUCACUGGACCGGAACUGACGCUGAUGCGCGAAAGCGUGGGGAGCAAACGGG
rnacentral:rRNA from 1 species